rnacentral:rRNA from 1 species
GAAGGGCUCGCGGCUGAUUAGCUAGUUGGAGUGGUAAAGGCACACCAAGGCAACGAUCAGUAACUGGUCUGAGAGGAUGAGCAGUCACACUGGAACUGAGAAACGGUCCAGACUCCUACGGGAGGCAGCAGUGGGGAAUUUUCCGCAAUGGGCGAAAGCCUGACGGAGCAAUACCGCGUGAGGGAGGAAGGUUCUUGGAUUGUAAACCUCUUUUCUAGGGGAAUAAAAAAAUGAAGGUACCCUAGGAAUAAGCAUCGGCUAACUCCGUGCCAGCAGCCGCGGUAAUACGGAGGAUGCAAGCGUUAUCCGGAAUUAUUGGGCGUAAAGAGUCCGUGGGUGGAAGUUCAAGUCUGCGGUCAAAGAAUGGAGCUUAACUCCAUAGAGGCCGUGGAAACUGAGCAACUAGAGUGCGGUAGGGGUAACGGGAAUUCCCAGUGUAGCGGUGAAAUGCGUAGA